rnacentral:rRNA from 1 species
AACCGCGGUUAUACGAGAGGCCCAAGUUGACGCGUCACGGCGUAAAGUGUGAUUAAAGAUAUUCCAAAAUGGAACCAAACACCCCCUAUGCUGUCAUACGCCAUGGGAGCUACGAAGACCAACAACGAAAGUGGUUCUAUGAACCUUGAACUCACGACAGCUAAGGUA